UGAACGCUGGCGGCAGGCCUAACACAUGCAAGUCGAGCGGAUGAAGGGAGCUUGCUCCUGGAUUCAGCGGCGGACGGGUGAGUAAUGCCUAGGAAUCUGCCUGGUAGUGGGGGAUAACGUCCGGAAACGGGCGCUAAUACCGCAUACGUCCUGAGGGGGAAAGUGGGGGAUCUUCGGACCUCACGCUAUCAGAUGAGCCUAGGUCGGAUUAGCUAGUUGGUGGGGUAAAGGCCUACCAAGGCGACGAUCCGUAACUGGUCUGAGAGGAUGAUCAGUCACACUGGAACUGAGACACGGUCCAGACUCCUACGGGAGGCAGCAGUGGGGAAUAUUGGACAAUGGGCGAAAGCCUGAUCCAGCCAUGCCGCGUGUGUGAAGAAGGUCUUCGGAUUGUAAAGCACUUUAAGUUGGGAGGAAGGGCAGUAAGUUAAUACCUUGCUGUUUUGACGUUACCAACAGAAUAAGCACCGGCUAACUUCGUG
rnacentral:rRNA from 1 species